rnacentral:rRNA from 1 species
AACGAACGCUGGCGGCAGGCUUAACACAUGCAAGUCGAACGCCCCGCAAGGGGAGUGGCAGACGGGUGAGUAACGCGGGGGAACAUACCCUUUCCUGCGGAAUAGCUCUGGGAAACUGGAAUUAAUACCGCAUACGCCCUACGGGGGAAAGAUUUAUCGGGGAAGGAUUGGCCCGCGUUGGAUUAGCUAGUUGGUGGGGUAAAGGCCUACCAAGGCGACGAUCCAUAGCUGGUCUGAGAAGAUGAUCAGCCACAUUGGGACUGAGACACGGCCCAAACUCCUACGGGAGGCAGCAGUGGGGAAUAUUGGACAAUGGGCGCAAGCCUGAUCCAGCCAUGCCGCGUGAGUGAUGAAGGCCUUAGGGUUGUAAAGCUCUUUCACCGAUGAAGAUAAUGACGGUAGUCGGAGAAGAAGCCCCGGCUAACUUCGUGCCAGCCGCCGCAGUAACAC